rnacentral:rRNA from 1 species
ACUCCUACGGGAGGCAGCAGUAGGGAAUAUUGGACAAUGGGCGCAAGCCUGAUCCAGCCAUGCCGCGUGAGUGAAGAAGGCCCUCGGGUUGUAAAGCUCUUUUGUCCGGAAAGAAAAGCGCCGGGUUNAUACCCUGGUGUCCUGACGGUACCGGAAGAAUAAGCACCGGCUAACUUCGUGCCAGCAGCCGCGGUAAUACGAAGGGUGCAAGCGUUACUCGGAAUUACUGGGCGUAAAGCGUGCGUAGGUGGUUNGUUAAGUCNGAUGUGAAAGCCCUGGGCUCAACCUGGGAAUNGCAUUGGAUACUGGCNGGCUAGAGUGCGGUAGAGGGUNGUGGAAUUCCCGGUGUAGCAGUGAAAUGCGUAGAGAUCGGGAGGAACAUCNGUGGCGAAGGCGACUACCUGGACCAGCACUGACACUGAGGCACGAAAGCGUGGGGAGCAAACAGGAUUAGAUACCCUGGUAGUC